rnacentral:tRNA from 1 species
GCACCCUUAGCGCAGUUGGUAGAGCAACUGACUCUUAAUCAGUGGGUCUAGGGUUCGAAUCCCUAAGGGUGUA